rnacentral:rRNA from 1 species
CCUACGGGAGGCAGCAGUGAGGAAUAUUGGUCAAUGGGCGCGAGCCUGAACCAGCCAAGUAGCGUGAAGGAUGACUGCCCUACGGGUUGUAAACUUCGUUUAUAAAGUAAUAAAGUGAGGCACGUGUGCCUUUUUGUAUGUACUUUAUUACUAAGGAUCGGCUAACUCCGUGCCAGCAGCCGCGGUAAUACGGAGGAUCCGAGCGUUAUCAGGAUUUAUUGGGUUUAAAGGGAGCGUAGAUGGUUUGUUAAGUCAGUUGUGAAAGUUUUCGGCUCAACCGUAAAAUUGCAAUUGAUACUGGCAGUCGUGAGUACAGGUGAGGUAGGCGGAAUUCGUGGUGUAGAGGUGAAAUGCUGAGAUAUCACGAAGAACUCCGAUUGCGAAGGCAGCUUACUAAACUGCCACUGACAUUGAUGCUCGAAAGUGUGGGUAUCAAACAGGAUUAGAUACCCCUGUAGUC